AGAGGUCAGAUACCAGGUGUACACAGGAGCCCUGCGGAGUAAUAUCACCCUGCAGAGUAUACACUGACCACACAGAGGUCAGAUACCAGGUGUACACAGGAGCCCUGCGGAGUAAUAUCACCCUGCAGAGUAUACACUGACCAUACAGAGGUCAGAUACCAGGUGUACACAGGAGCCCUGCGGAGUAAUAUCACCCUGCAGAGUAUACACUGACCAUACAGAGGUCAGAUACCAGGUGUACACAGGAGCCCUGCGGAGUAAUAUCACCCUGCAGAGUAUACACUGACCAUACAGAGGUCAGAUACCAGGUGUACACAGGAGCCCUGCGGAGAAAUAUCACCCUGCAGAGUAUACACUGACCAUACAGAGGUCAGAUACCAGGUGUACACAGGAGCCCUGCAGAGUAAUAUCACCCUGCAGAGUAUACACUGACCAUACAGAGGUCAGAUACCAGGUGUACACAGGAGCCCUGCGGAGUAAUAUCACCCUGCAGAGUAUACACUGACCAUACAGAGGUCAGAUACCAGGUGUACACAGGAGCCCUGCGGAGUAAUAUCACCCUGCAGAGUACACACU